AACAAGAAUUUCUUAUUCUCUCACCAGCCUCUACAUCAUCACCUGAAAUGGAAGCUGGGUGUCAAUGCCAAACUUGAAUCAAUAAAGAGCUGAAGUACCUGCAGUGGUGCCAGAUGUAAUGUUUCAAUUAAUCUUUUAGAAUUAAUGCCUGUUUCAUUUCCAGGAAGUCCAGAGGGGGGACAUUCAACCAGCAGCAGCAGCAGUAAUUUGUGACCAAGGAAUUGAUCUGGGAUGGGCUGGGAUGCCCCACACCCCCAGCAUUGGCUCAUGGUGCUUCUUUGCAGCCUCCUUGUUGUGGGAAUGAGUGAGUGGCUGUCAUGUUUAGCUGCCUGCCAGUGACACAGGGAACUCCUUGAUCCCAUCUGCCUCCUCUAAUAUCACAAAUGAGACAAAGGAAGCUUGGAAGAAUUUGCAAGACACUCCAUAGAUUUUAUUUAAGACAAAGGACACUUGUCUCCUGUUACAUUUUUGGUGCCAUGUGUGGAAAGGCCUCCAACAGAUUCCUGAGUUUGCAAAGUGGGUCAUGCAGUCAAGUGGAAGAACAUAGCCUUUGGAUACUCUGGAGAUGUUGUAUUGGGAUGAUUGCUCUGGAAGUGCUUCCAAUUAUAAAGAUUGCUUCCCCCAAAGGAAAAGAGACUUUGAUGUUAGUGAGUUAUCUCAAAACAGUUGGAGAUACAAUAAAAUCCUAUCAGAAACCAGCAUCAACGCGUGCCAUUGACACAUCAGGUCUCAAGACAACAUUUACCAAGAACCAGAUAAGCCUGAGGCUUCCUCUUCCUUAAUUAAACUUAAUUAGAUUGUCUUUCUGAAGGUUUUUCACUCAGGAAUGAUUGAAGCCAUUGGAUUAGUGAGUGGAAUUUUCACUGAAUGGUUUUUGGAAGAACUGCUAUUACAGCAGGUGGGUAAAGCUCUUUCCAAACCCACACGUUCCCACAAGGAUUUUAUGUAGACAGAGGGGGCUUUGGGGAUGUCUUGCACUUCCACAUUUCUUUGUGAACAUGGAUGAAGCAAAACAAAUUGUCUCACUAAAAAAUCAGCUCUCAUAGAAUUUUUUACCAUCCCAGCAUGUCUGUGGUUUACAGAAUGGCUGUUCUGAUAACUAAACUUUUACAGUGGAAGUGAUAAUUUCUGAUACUCGAGCCACAUCCAUGCAUAUUCAAAAGGGGUUUGUUUUUGCACACCUCCUGAUUGCCACCUCUCAACAAACAUCAGAUUGUUUCCAUUAUCAGUUCACAAUACCUUUCCUUGAUGGUAAAUGUCUUUCAUUUGCCUAAAUGGAAAUGAGAAUGCAAUUAUGGAUAUUUAUAACUAUGCAUAAUACAAUUUUUUUCAGACAAUCAUGGGACUAAAGGGAUGAACUUUGUUUUCUGUCAGUUCAUAUUAUGGCUUGCUAAAACUUGCCUUCUACCUAUGUACAUUUGUCAAGUAAAAUGAUAAUUCCAUCAUUGGACAUUUUAGUAAACGAUUGCUGUGAUUAGUUAAAGAUAAAUUAUAGCCACACACAAUAGCCAUCAGUGCUGACUGCGUAUCAUUUAUAUGAUUAAACAAUUUUUAAGCAACUUAUUUAUUGUUUUUUUUUUCUAAUUUUACUCAUUUAAACAAAGUGCAACAUUAGAAAAGUACUUUCUGUAGGUUUUGUCUGAUUAUCUGAAUAAUUUGAUAUUGUAACAUAAUGUGGAUGCCAGGUUUGUUUGUUUGUAGCUUUUAGGACAGAGAUAUAAAUGCAUAAAACCAAAAUAAUACACACAGUGGAAAGAGGAAAAAUGUAUACCUUUGAGAAAAUGCUUUUCUCAGUGUUUCACAAUUAACUGCAGGAUUAUUAAUGAUACACCCUUUAUGUUUAAAAAUAAACUGCAUG
ensembl:lncRNA